CCUACGGGCGGCAGCAGUGGGGAAUAUUGGGCAAUGGAGGCAACUCUGACCCAGCAACGCCGCGUGAAUGAUGAAGGUCUUCGGAUUGUAAAGUUCUUUUCUAAGGGGAGAAGAAAGUGACGGUACCUUAGGAAUAAGCCUCGGCUAACUACGUGCCAGCAGCCGCGGUAAUACGUAGGAGGCAAGCGUUAUACGGAAGGACUGGGCGUAAAGGGUGCGGAGGUGGUUUGACAAGUUAGUGGCGCAACGCCGGGGCUCAACGUCGGAAGUACUACGAAAACUGUUGGACUUGAGUGCAGGAGGGGCAAUCGGAAUUCGUAGUGUAGCGGUGGAAUGCGUAGAUAUGAGGAGGAACACCAGUGGCGAAGGCGGAUUGCUAGACUGUAACUGACACUGAGGCACGAAAGCGUGGGGAGCAAACAGGAUUAGAUACCCCUGUAGUC
rnacentral:rRNA from 1 species